rnacentral:rRNA from 1 species
UACGUAGGGUGCGAGCGUUUAAUCGGAAUUACUGGGCGUAAAGCGUGCGCAGGCGGCGCGUUAAGACAGGUGUGAAAGCCCCGAGCUUAACUUGGGAAUUGCGCUUGUGACUGGCGUGCUGGAGUGUGGCAGAGGGAGGUGGAAUUCCACGUGUAGCAGUGAAAUGCGUAGAGAUGUGGAGGAACACCGAUGGCGAAGGCAGCCUCCUGGGCCAGCACUGACGCUCAUGCACGAAAGCGUGGGGAG